AUGUUAUUUUAUGAGCAUUAUUUUAUAGGCAUAAAGAAAAAUCUUUCUGAAAAAAAAAACAUAAAGAAAAAAAAAAGAAAAGAUAAAAGAAAAAAGAAAACAAAGUAAAUUAGGGUGUGAUUGGUAUGGUUUUGGGAUACAAUUUAUUGUUUUCAAAUAUUAAAGCUUGGUGGGACCCUUUAAAAUAUCUGAUUGGAAGUUUAUUUUUGAAAACUAAACUCAAAUCAAUUUCUCAAAUUUAUAAAGAAAAUGAGAAAACAAUAAAUACACGUUUUCAGAGUUUUGCAAUAUUUCAAUCUAAAAACCCUAAAAUCAUUUUGUAAACUUUCUCCUUCUCAUUUUCUCUCUGCGCCGCCUCUCUGUCAAAAGCAGAGUUCUUCUUCUUCUUCCACAAAACCACACCAUUCAAACUUUUCUUCUUCUCUGUUAUUAAUCAGAUCAACUAACCAGUCCUCUGUUGUCUUCUCUCGUGAUCAGCCAGUCUUUUCCUCUCCAUUACACAAGCACAGGGACGCCGUUGCCAGCACCAGGCAGGGGAGGGACGCCGUUGCCAGCACCAGGCAGGGGAGAAGCAUUUUCGAUCUAAGAUUGCGGGUUGACGGAGAGACACCAUUGCCGAACUGAGUGCGAUAGUCGGGUUGAGCUGACCACAACACCAUCACACCAUUGUAGUCCAUUUACGCUCAACCUGCAUCAUCUAAGAUGGCUGAGAAGAAUGUAGACAUUGACGAUCAUGCUUCUUGGCCUGAGGCUAUUGAAUCACAUUUUAUUAGUCUUCUAUAUGAAGAAGCCAAAAAAGGAUUACAAACAACAACCUUGGACAAAAAGGGAUGGCUGAAAAUAGAAAAUGACAUAUUAAAUUCUUUUGGAAAGAGAUAUAAAAUGCAUCAAUUGAAAUCCAAAUUCAAUCGGUUAAGAAAGGCACAUCGUGAAUUUUCUCAUCUUUUGGAACAAACUGGUAUGGGAUGGGAUCCUCAAACAAGUACUGUUACAGCAAAUGAUGAAGUAUGGGACACUUAUCUAAAGGUAAUAUACUUACAUUAUACUUGUGUUGUUGAUUACUUGAUUAUUCUAAAUUCAUGUUACAUUGUAACGUUAUGUGUUUUUGGAUUUUUGUAGAAAUAUCCAAAUGCAAAAAGAUUUCGAAAAAAAGGAUUGCAACAUUAUGAGAUGCUUGGAGAAAUAUUCAAUAAUACAACAGCCACUGGUGGGAUGAGUUAUGCCUCCACUCAACUUCCGCCUUCUUCAGUUGAAGAACGCCAACAAGAGCGUCAUUUUGUUGGAACUGGAGCACAUGUUGAUGUUGGUUUUGAAUUUGAUGGUGAUAAUUAUGGAGAGGAGGAAGAAGUUACUGGUGUACGUCGUCGAGCUACUUCUGCU